CAAACCCCUUUCGUUGUUACCGACAUGUAUGCGCCAACUGCUCGAUCCCUCAAAAGCGUUUUCUUGGACGAACUGAAAAGUAUUGCUCCACCGAACAACACUCCGUGGCUAGUCAUAGGUGACUUCAAUCUGAUUCGUUUCCCCCAUGAGAAAAAUAAUCCCAAUUUUCAUCAUCUAGAAGCAUCUCUUUUCAACGACGCCUUGGAUCACCUCGCGCUUAUGGAAUUACCUCUCCUAGACAGGAAGUUCACCUGGUCAAAUAACUAA
rnacentral:rRNA from 1 species